ensembl:lncRNA
UGAGCGGGGACUCGAUGGCUUUGUGUUGUAGAGAGGACCGGGGAGUCCUGUGGGGUACCAGUGUAUCGUCAUGGCGACCCGUCCAAUACUUUUCUUGCCAUAUUGUUUCCAUCGGUGAACCAGAUGUGAUCGCAAGCGGCGAGUUACAAAAAGUUAGAGAGCGGAGAGAGCUGCCGUAGACGGGCGGAACGCAGCAUGGCCGUGUCAGAUUCUCCCUCGCUGCCUGCCAUUCAAAUCUCUUGCUCAAUACGGUUACCGUGGCAACUGGCCACUUGUUGUGGCGAGCGGGCGACGAAAGGACACUAAGAAAGAGACCGAGGACGAACAACGAACACAACCCAAACCCCAGGUUAGACCGGCGACUCUACGAGGCUCUAUGAAAUGGAUGUCUGAGGAUUGAUCGUGACACAGCACUUAAUAAAAGUCACAUUUGACAGUUUUGAUUCUCUAAUCCAUUGAUUAGGUAUUUGAGAAGUAUGAAAAAGAUGUCAAGUGAAGUCAAAAUGCAGUUUGAAUGAAAGAACCCUCUAUUUAAACGCCGGGUUGGACUCGCCGGGCUGGUCUCCGUCCACACUUCACCGCUCCCACAGCAACAUCUGGAGGUCAUCGACCCGCUCAGCGGUCACGGGCAUGUUCUACUAGUAGUGAGCGAGGAGUCAGUGGCCGAAUAAAUGCAGGAGCUUUUGGUUCAAAGGACGUGCAUGGUGCUAAAUUGACGGCAAUGAUUUACACUUAUGUAAAGAAUACUUUAUUACAAAGAAAACAGUGGUAUGAAAAAAAGCACAUGAAGGGAUUGUAGAUGCUUCAGCAAAAAGAGAUGAAACUCAGCUCACUAAGAGGACGCC